rnacentral:rRNA from 1 species
UACGAAGGGGGCUAGCGUUGCUCGGAAUCACUGGGCGUAAAGCGCACGUAGGCGGCUUUUUAAGUCAGGGGUGAAAUCCUGGAGCUCAACUCCAGAACUGCCUUUGAUACUGGGAAGCUUGAGUCCGGAAGAGGUGAGUGGAACUCCGAGUGUAGAGGUGAAAUUCGUAGAUAUUCGGAAGAACACCAGUGGCGAAGGCGGCUCACUGGUCCGGUACUGACGCUGAGGCGCGAAAGCCAGGGGAGCAAACGGG